rnacentral:rRNA from 1 species
GGCCGCAGUAUUUUAACUGUGCAAAGGUAGCAUAAUAAUUAGUCUUUUAAUUGAAGGCUGGUAUGAAUGGUUGGACGAAAUAUUAACUGUUUCAUAUAAAUUUAUAUUAAAAUUUUAUUUUUUAGUUAAAAAGCUAAAAUUUAUUUAAAAGACGAGAAGACCCUAUAAAUCUUUAUAUUAAAAAUUUUUAUAUAUUUUUAGGAUUUUUUAUUUAUAAAAAUUUUUAAUAUUUUAUUGGGGUGAUAUUAAAAUUUAAAUAACUUUUAAUUUUUUAUUACAUUAAUUUAUGAAUUUUUGAUCCAUUAAUAAUGAUUAAUAGACUAAGUUACUUUAGGGAUAACAGCGUAAUUUUUUUGGAGAGUUCAUAUUAAUAAAAAAGUUUGCGACCUCGAUGUUGGAUU